rnacentral:rRNA from 1 species
AAUCGGAAUAAUUGUCAAUGGGCGAAAGCCUGAACAUGCGACGCCGCGUGAGCGAUGAAGGCCUUCGGGUUGUAAAGCUCUGUGUUAUGGGAAGAAAAGCUGGUAGAUGAACAAUUUAUUGGCCUGACUGUACCAUAAUAGAAAGCCCCGGCUAACUUACGUGCCAGCAGCCGCGGUAAUACGUAGGGGGCUAGCGUUGUUCGGAAUCACUGGGCGUAAAGGGCGUACAGGCGGUUAUGUAAGUCUGAUGUGAAAUUCUUGAGCUUAACUUGAGAACUGCAUUUGAUACUGCAUGGCUAGAGGUCAGAAGAGGAGAAUGGAAUAUGUGGUGUAGCGGUGAAAUGCGUAGAUAUCACAUAGAACACCGGUGGCGAAGGCGGUUCUCUGGUCUGAUUCUGACGCUGACGCGCGAAAGCUAGGGUAGCGAACGGGAUUAGAUACCCUGGUAGUCC